CCACGAUGGCAUACUUGUGGAGAAUCAAACGUGACAAUGGUUUUCUUCCGCAGGUGGUUUUCUUCCGUGGCAGUCUUGGCGAAGAUUCUUCACGGGGUGAACGUGGUCUCUGAUCAGUGGUCUUCAGUACUCAACUAGCGCUGUAACUAAGGCCCCGUUUGGUUUGGGCUAACUAAAGUUUAGUGACUAAAGUUUAGUCACUUUUAGCCACUAAAGAAGCAAACAUAUUGACUAAAGUGGAGUGACUAAACUUUAGUUCUUUAGUCACCAAAUGAGUGACUAAAAGGGACUAAAGUAGUAUUUUUACCAUAUUUGCCCUCUACACUUUCUUUUUAUAGCAAACAUCCAUUAAUUAAUAGGGGUAAAACAGUCAUUAUUCACAGCAAUUAAUACUCUUUAGUCCGGUUUAGUCACUGGAACCAAACGGGUUACUUUAGCGCCUAAACUUUAGUCACUAAAAUUUAGUUUAGUGACUAAAGGAACCAAACAGGGCCUAAAGAUACAAUAGAUGGACAUCACCGUGCUUUAAAUGCCUCCUCACUAGACCAUAAAUGAAGCAAUAUGCCGUAG
rnacentral:lncRNA from 1 species